rnacentral:tRNA from 2 species
GGGCGAUUAGCUCAGUUGGUAGAGCACCUGCCUUACAAGCAGGGGGUCACUGGUUCGAGUCCAGUAUUGCCCACCA